rnacentral:lncRNA from 1 species
AGUGCAUCUGAAUAGUCUAACAGCAUUUAGGAUCCCUGUACCUAGGUUGCUUUCAUCCACAUUAUAAGAAGAACUCUCAUGUUUUGAGAAGUCUAAAAAAGAAUUCCUAUGAAAAGAGAGAAAAGCACAAUAAGAGCUAAACAUUUAAAAUAGGCAACAGCAGGUUAUAAAAAAUGCACAACCAAGAUAUGAUUAUAUACCUUAUCAUACAUAGAUAAAUACAUAUAUGCAUAGAUGAAUAAACACGUAGAUAAAUAAAUAGAUAACAAAAUAAAUAGAUAAGCAAGUAAACAGAUAAAUAAAUACAAAAAUUCAUAAAUAAAUAAAUAAAUAAAUAAAUAAAUUGAUAAAAAUAAAUACAUAGAUAAAUAAACACAUAGAUAAAUAAAUACAGAGAUAGACAAAUAAAUAGAUAAAGAAAAAAUACAUAAAUAGAUAAAUAAAUAAAUGGAUAGAUAAACACAUGGAAAAAAAACAUAGUUAAAUAAACAGAUAGACAAGUAAAUACAUAGAUAAAUAAAUAAAUAGUUAGAUGAAUAAAUAAAUAGAGUUUAACAUUCAUUAUGAGGGUCAACAGUAGCUUCAUUAAGUGAGCACAUUAUACUACAAUUUUCUUAUGCAGUGCCAGUGCAUCUGAAUAGUCUAACACAUUUAGGAUCCCUGUACCUAGGUUGCUUUCAUCCACAUUAUAAGAAGAACUCUCAUGUUUUGAGAAGUCUAAAAAAGAAUUCCUAUGAAAAGAGAGAAAAGCACAAUAAGAGUUAAACAUUUAAAAUAGGCAACAGCAGGUUAUAAAAAAAUGCACAACCAAGAUAUGAUUAUAUACCUUAUCAUACAUAGAUAAAUACAUAUAUCCAUUGAUAAAUAAACACAUAGAUAAAUAAAUAGAUAACAAAAUAAAUAGAUAAGCAAGUAAACAGAUAAAUAAAUACAAAAAUUCAUAAAUAAAUAAAUAAAUAUAUUGAUAAAAAUAAACACAUAGAUAAAUAAAUACAGAGAUAGACAAAUAAAUAGAUAAAGAAAAAAAACAUAAAUAGAUAAAUAAAUAAAUGAAUAGAUAAACACAUGGAAAAAAAACAUAGUUAAACAAACAGAUAGACAAGUAAAUACAUAGAUAAAUAAAUAAAUAGUUAGAUGAAUAAAUAAAUAGAGUUUAACAUUCAUUAUGAGGGUCAACAGUAGCUUCAUUAAGUGAGCACAUUAUACUACAAUUUUCUUAUGCAGUGCCAGUGCAUCUGAAUAGUCUAACAGCAUUUAGGAUCCCUGUACCUAGGUUGCUUUCAUCCACACUAUAAGAAGAACUCUCAUUUAAAAUGGGCAACAGCAGGUUAUAAAAAAUGCACAACCAAGAUAUGAUUAUAUACCUUAUCAUACAUAGAUAAGUACAUAUAUGCAUAGAUAAAUAAAUAGAUAACAAAAUAAAUAGAUAAGCAAGUAAACAGAUAAAUAAAUACAAAAAUUCAUAAAUAAAUAAAUAAAUAAACUGAUAAAAAUAAAUACAUAGAUAAAUAAACACAUAGAUAAAUAAAUACAGAGAUAAACAGAUAAAUAGAUAAAGAAAAAAUACAUAAAUAGAUAAAUAAAUAAAUGGAUAAAUAAACAAAUAGAAAAAAAUACAGUUAAAAAAACACAUAGACAAGUAAAUACAAAGAUAAAUAAAUAUAUAAAUAGUUAGAUUAAUAAACAAAUAAAUAAAUAAAUACAUGGGGACAUAAAUGAAAAAAUAUAUGCAUAAGUAAAAAGAUUCAUAUUUAAAUAAAUGCACAAAUAGAUAAAAACAAAUAAAUAAACCAAUGAAUACAUAAAUAAAUAAAUACAUUAACAAAUAAAUGCAUGAAUACAUAGCAAAUAAAUAAAUAAAAACAUAAAGAAACGAAUAAAUAAAUGAAUAAAUGACAAAUAAAUAAAUACAUAAAUAAACAAGUACAUAUAUAAGUAAAUAAAUACAAACACAACUAGCUACAUCAAUAUAUAUAUAUAACUAAAUACAUACAUACAUAAAUAAAUAAACUAAUAAAUAAAUAAAUAAAUAAAUACAUAAGUAAUUAUAUAAAUAAACAAAUAAGUACAUCAACAUAUAAAUAAACACAUAAAUAAACAAGUAGAUAAAUGCAUAAAUAAAUAAAUAAAUAAUAAAUGAAUAAAUAGUUCGACAAACAUAAAUAAAUAAAUACAUAGAUAAAUAAAUAAAUAAAUACAUAAGCAAAUAAAUACAUAAAUACGUAAAUAAAUACAUACCUAAAUAAGUAAUAAAGAGUUCAAUAAAUAGACAAAUACAUGAAUAAAUAAAUAAAUAUAUAAGUAAUUAAAUAAGUACAUAAAUGCAAGAAUAAAUAAAUGCAUAAAUGAAUAAAAAAAUUGUUCAAUAAAACAUAUAAAUAAAUAAAUAUAUAAAAAAAUAAAUACACAAGUAAAUAAAUAAGUAGAUAAAUAAAUACAUAAAAAAUAGUUCAAUAAACACACAAAUAAAUAAAUACAUAGAUAAAUAAAUAUGUAAAUAACUAAAUACAUAAGAAAACACAUACAUAAAUAAAUAAAUAAACGCAUAAGCGAAUAAAUAUAUAAAUACGUAAAUAAAUACAUACCUAAAUAAAUAAUAAAUAGGUCAAUAAAUAGACAAAUACAUAAGUAAAUAAAUACAUAAAUGCAUAAACAAAUACAUAGCCAAAUAAAUAAGGACAUAAAUAAAUGAAUAGUAAAUAAAUAAAUACAUAAUUACACAGAUAAAUAAAUAAAUAAAAAUAAAUACAUAUAUAAAUGAAUAUGUAAGUAAAUAAAUACAUAAAUAAAUAAAUAAUACUUAUAAAUACACAAAUGCAUAAAUGAAUACAUAGCCAAAUAAAUAAAGACAUAAAUAAAUGAAUAGUUAAUAUAUAAAUAUGUAAAUAAAUAAUUACUUAAAUAAAUUAAUACAUAAGCAAGUAAAUAAAUCAAUAAAUAGCUAAAUACAUGAAUAAAUAAAUAGAUAAACAAAUAAAUAACUAAAUAAAUAAAGACAUAAAUACAUAAAUGAAUAAAUACAUGAGCAUUCAAAUACGUAAAUAAAUAAGUACACCAAUACAAAAAUCAAAAAGUACAUAAAUAAAAAGAUAAAAAGAUAAAAAAAUAAAUACAUAGACCCAUAAAUAAGUAAAUGCAUAAAUAAAUACAUAUACAAAUAAAUUAAUAAAAUAAAUAAAUUAAUACACAAACAAAGAAAUACAUAAAUAGAUUAAUACCCAAAUAAAUGAACAACUAAAUAAAUACAUAAUAAAUGCAUCAAUACAUAAAUAAAUAAAUAAAUAUAGAAAUAGAUAAAUAAAUCAUAGAAAAAUAAAUAUAAAACAAUAAAUGAAUAGAUAGAUAAAUAAAUUUAUUGGUAAAUAAAUGCAUAGAUACAUAAAUAAAUAAAUGCAUAUAAAAAAAAAAAAAUAUAUAUAUAUAUAUAUAUAUAUAUAAUAACAAACUACACAUUUUAAACAUCACAAACUACAGUAUCUGGAUAUCACAAACAUAAUAACAUGAGAUGAUUCAUUGGCGCCAUCAUUCAUAAUUUGUCAAUAGUGAGUAGUCGGAUACUUACCAGUAAAGGAUGGGUGUAAGUGAUGAAUGACAUCUCAAUCAAAAUAGUAAAGCAAAGUGCCACGAUCAAGCUACAAUUCCUUCACUAAAGUAUCAUGUUCAGCAUGAUUUCAAGGCACCUUCAACCCACCACAACUCUAGGAGGUAUAAAAUGGCAUACAGCUGAAUCAUCGUCCCAGGCUACUCUUAUGCAAGGAUCCAAGGAACAACCUACAAUUCUAUGCUUUGUAGUAACAAAACAUCUAUUGCAGUUUAUUAUCUACCCAGCUUCCUAAAUGAGUGAUCAGCAAAUAAGUCCACUAAAAAUAUGGAAUAUAUCAGGCUCAUAGCAGAGUGAGAGAGGAAGUGUCUCAAGAGUUAAAUUCCCAAACAAAAACUGCUCACCAAAAUAUGCAAUUUGUUUGAGCAUAUGACAUAUCCCAGUCAAAGGAUGAAAUAACAAAAUUAAAAUGGGGGUAAAAACUAAAGACAAGGCACAAAAUGUGUGGGGAGAAAAUGUCAAAUACUGUAUCCAUGAUUUCUGAUAAGAAGAUCUACCUUGUGGUCUUAUGGAAUGUGAUCACUGGUUCCAGUGGCUGUGUUCUCGAUCUGAUCAUUCAGCGCAACCUGAGUCUGACAAGUGUCUAAGAAAAUUUGUGGGGUAUGAUCUAUUUCAUCCUCCUUACCAAUUUCUUUGCUACAGUUGACUGAAGGAUCCUGUGAAGCAGUUUGGACACAAGGACAAAAAGACUCAUCACGUUGUGUUUUCUGUGAACGGUCAAGGUUCUCUUCAAGCUUUGAAGAAUCUCCUAAUUUCUCACUGGGCCCUUUGCAAGCCCCUGAUUCAUUAUUGGAAUCAAAAAUCAAUAGGCUAACAUCAGCAUCAUCAUAAAUUCAAUUCUCCCAUUCACACCCUACCACUCCAUCUCUGUAUUUCUCUGGUGGAUGAUUUUCCAGAAAAUCAGUUUUAGAAACAAAUAAACUUUUUCUUUUGUCAAGACCAUUUUGAACAAAGCAAACCAGUUCUAGUGGUGCAUAGCCAAUAUCCAAUUUAACAUCCAUUUUGAUGCCAAAGCAAGGUGCAACAUUAUGGUUGGAACUACCACGGUCAUACUGCUCAGGCUGAGGCAAAUUACUAGGUAGUGUUUAACAUUCAUCAGGAGGAUCAACAGUAGCUUCAUUAAGUGAGCAUAUUAUACUACAAUUUCCUUAUGCAGUACCAGUGCAUCUGAAUAGUCUAACAGCAUUUAGGAUCCCUAUACCUAGGUUGCUUUCAUCCACAUUAUAAGAAGAACUCUCAUGUUCUGAGAAGUCUAAAGAAGAAUUCCCAUGAAAAGAGAGACAAGCACAAUAAGAGCUAAACAUUUAAAAUAGGCAACAGCAGGUUAUAAAAAAUGCACAACCAAGAUAUGAUUAUAUACCUUAUCAUAC